AUUGAACGCUGGCGGCAGGCCUAACACAUGCAAGUCGAACGAGGGGCGGACGGGUGAGUAAUGUGUGGGAAACUGCCAGAUGGAGGGGGAUAACUACGGGAAACGGUAGCAAAUACCGCAUACCAUCGGAUGUGCCCAGAUGGGAUUAGCUAGUAGGUGGGGUAACGGCUCACCGAGGCGACGAUCCCUAGCUGGUCUGAGAGGAUGACCAGCCACACUGGAACUGAGACACGGUCCAGACUCCUACGGGAGGCAGCAGUGGGGAAUAUUGCACAAUGGGCGCAAGCCUGAUGCAGCCAUGCCGCGUGUAUGAAGAAGGCCUUAGGGUUGUAAAGUACUUUCAGCGAGGAGGCGUUACUCGCAGAAGAAGCACCGGCUAACUCCGUGCCAGCAGCCGCGGUAAUUC
rnacentral:rRNA from 1 species